CCUACGGGAGGCAGCAGUGGGGAAUAUUGCACAAUGGGGGAAACCCUGAUGCAGCGACGCCGCGUGAGUGAAGAAGUAUUUCGGUACGUAAAGCUCUAUCAGCAGGGAAGAAAAUGACGGUACCUGACUAAGAAGCCCCGGCUAACUACGUGCCAGCAGCCGCGGUAAUACGUAUGGGGCACGCGUUAUCCGGAUUUACUGGGGGUAAAGGGAGCGUAGACGGCAGCGCAAGUCUGGAGUGAACUCCCAUGGCUUAACCAUGGAACUGCUUUGGAAACUGUGCAGCUAGAGUGCAGGAGAGGUAAGCGGAAUUCCUAGUGUAGCGGUGAAAUGCGUAGAUAUUAGGAGGAACACCAGUGGCGAAGGCGGCUUACUGGACUGUAACUGACGUUGAGGCUCGAAAGCGUGGGGAGCAAACAGGAUUAGAUACCCGAGUAGUC
rnacentral:rRNA from 1 species